rnacentral:rRNA from 1 species
AUUGAACGCUGGCGGCAGGCCUAACACAUGCAAGUCGAGCGGAUGACGGGAGCUUGCUCCUUGAUUCAGCGGCGGACGGGUGAGUAAUGCCUAGGAAUCUGCCUGGUAGUGGGGGACAACGUUUCGAAAGGAACGCUAAUACCGCAUACGUCCUACGGUAGAAAGCAGGGGACCUUCGGGCCUUGCGCUAUCAGAUGAGCCUAGGUUGGAUUAGCUAGUAGGUGGGGUAAUGGCUCACCAAGGCGACGAUCCGUAACUGGUCUGAGAGGAUGAUCAGUCACACUGGAACUGAGACACGGUCCAGACUCCUACGGGAGGCAGCAGUGGGGAAUAUUGGACAAUGGGCGAAAGCCUGAUCCAGCCAUGCCGCGUGUGUGAAGAAGGUCUUCGGAUUGUAAAGCACUUUAAGUUGGGAGGAAGAGCAGUAAGUUAAUACCUUGCUGUUUUGACGUUACCGACAGAAUAAGCACCGGCUAACUCUGUGCCAGCAGCCGCCGUAAUAC